GAUUCAUCAGCUCACAGUGAAACGAGCUUGCAUGAGAGCAUCCCAGGACCACUGAACAUUCAGAGGCGUGGUCUGACUCUUGGGGCCAGAGUUGCAUUGAUGGCACUUGAGAGACUAAUACAUAAUCCAGAGCUCCAAAUGUACACUGUGAAAUAAAACUGCCAAGACUAGGAGAGGAAAUUAUCUCCAGGAAAAAUGCCAUGCAUGACCAGGGUUAAUGAUAUGGAACACACCCCACAAAGAUGCUUUGCCUUUGGGUACCAGGACUUCAAAUCCUACACAAUGAAGACUCAGCCUGCCUGCACCCAGGUGAAAUAAACAGCAUUUUUGCUCACACAUAGCCUGUUUGGUGGUCUCUUCACAUGGAUGCGCAUGAAAUUUGGUGCUGUGACUCGGAUCCGGAGACCUCCCUUGGGAGAUAAAAUCCCCUGUCCUCCUGCUCUUUGCUCCGUGAAAAAGAUCCACCUACGACCUCAAGUCCUCAGACCCACCAGCCCAAGGAACAUCUCACCAAUUUUAAAUCAGCAAAAUGACAUGAAUGACUGAAAAAGCAUGUGGAGCACAAGACUCAAGAACUAAGUGAAAGGACUCACACUUCCUGAUUUCAAGUAAAGCUACAGCAAUCAAGACGUGGCAUUGAUGUAAGAAUAGACACAUCAAUGAAUGAAACAGAAUACAUCUUCCAGAAAUAAAUUCACACAAAUAUAGUCAAGAGGUUUUUUGUGUGCUAAAGUGUAUAUAAUAUUUACCAUUUUAACCAUUUUUAAGUGCACAGUUCAGAAGCAUUAAGAAUAAACAAUGUUGUAUAACCAUCACCAUUAUCCAGUUCCAGAAUUUUUCAUCACCUCACACAGAAACUCUGUACCUAUUAUCAACAAUAAAUUUUCAUUCCCCCCUUGCCCUCAGUCUCUGGUAACCACUAUUGAACUUUCUGUUUCUAUGAAUUUGCCCCUUCUCAGUGCCUAAUAUGAGUGGAAUAAUACAAUAUGGGUCCUUUGUGCCUAGUUUAUUUCACUUACUGUAAUGUUUUCAAGGUUCAUCCAUGUUAUAAUAUGGAUCAGAAUUUUAUUUCUUUUCAAGCAUGAAUAAUAGUCCAUGGUAUGUCUAUACCACAUUGUUUAUCCAUUCAUCAGCUGAUGGAUAUUUGGGGGUUGUUUCUAUCUUUUGGCUAUUGUAAAUGAUGAUGUUAUGAACAAUGGUGUAUAAUGUCUGUUUGAGCACUGCUUUGAAUUGUUUGGGGUAUAUACUUAGGAGCGGAAUUACUGGAUCAUAUGUCAAUUCUAUGUUUAAUUUUUGAGGAACUGUCGAGCUGUCUUUCACAGCAGCUGCAUAAUUUUACAUUCCCACCACAAUGCAUAAGAGCUUCAGUUUCUCAAAAUCUUUACCAACAUUUAUUUUUCUUUUUAAAAAUAUAUAAUAGCCAUACUAAUAGUAUAAAGUAAUAUUUCAUUGUGCAUUUGAUUUGCAUUUCCCUAAUGAUAACUGAUGUUGAGCAUCUUUUCACGUGCUUGUUGACCAUUUGUAUAUCUUCUUUUGAGAUAUGUCUAAUCAAGUCCUUUGUCCAUUUUUUAAUUGGGCUGGGUAUUAUUCUUCUGUUAUUGUUGAGUUGCAGGAGUUCUUUAUAUAUUCUGCAUAAAAGUUCCUUA
ensembl:lncRNA LINC00836 long intergenic non-protein coding RNA 836